UACGUAGGGUGCUAGCGUUGUCCGGAUUUAUUGGGCGUAAAGAGCUUGUAGGCGGCUCGUCGCGUCGGGUGUGAAACUUGCGGCUUAACCGCAAGCCUGCACCCGAUACGGGCGGGCUAGAGUUCGGCAGGGGGAGACUGGAAUUCCUGGUGUAGCGGUGGAAUGCGCAGAUAUCAGGAGGAACACCGGUGGCGAAGGCGGGUCUCUGGGCCGAUACUGACGCUGAGAAGCGAAAGCGUGGGGAGCGAACAGG
rnacentral:rRNA from 1 species